UGGACUUUAGCUCCCAGACUCAACAAAACACAUUGUCUGGAAGUUCUCAGUUGAUUAUCUUUCCUUUUAUUUUUCUUAGGAACAUGGAAAGAGAGGAAGGCAUCUGCUGGAUAUGGAAACAUUCAAAUGCAUAAUGAAGCAAAGUAUGAGGCCACACAGCCAAAGUAUUGGACAAAUAGAGCAACUCUUCAUGAAAAUAGACUAUGAGGCAGUGGGGAGAAUCCAGUGGGUAAGUUACAUUGUGUAAAUACAACUUAAAGCUGG
rnacentral:lncRNA from 1 species